rnacentral:rRNA from 1 species
AACGCGAAGAACCUUACCUGGGCUCGAAAUGUAGUGGAAGUCAGCAGAAACGUUGGCGCCCGCAAGGGCCGCUAUAUAGGUGCUGCAUGGCUGUCGUCAGCUCGUGUCGUGAGAUGUUGGGUUAAGUCCCGCAACGAGCGCAACCCUCAUCUUUAGUUGCCAUGCCGCAAGGCGGCACUCUAAAGAAACUGUCGGCCACAAGCCGAAGGAAGGUGGGGAUGACGUCAAGUCCUCACGGCCUUUAUGUCCAGGGCUACACACGUGCUACAAUGGGCGGCACAAAGCGUCGCAAACCCGCGAGGGGGAGCCAAUCGCAAAAAGCCGCUCUCAGUUCGGAUUGCAGUCUGCAACUCGACUGCAUGAAGCUGGAAUCGCUAGUAAUCGCGGAUCAGCACGCCGCGGUGAAUACGUUCCCGGGCCUUGUA